rnacentral:tRNA from 1 species
GCUUGCUUAGCUCAGUUGGUAGUAGCGUGCCCUUCGUACACGAAUGUCGUCGGUCGACCGACGACGAACCUCGCGCCACGGCGACGACGGAAGAGGGUAAGGUCACGCGUUCGAACCGCGUAGCGAGCA